rnacentral:tRNA from 3 species
GCGCGGGUAGCUCAGUCGGUAGAGCAAGCGGCUUUUAACCGCAAGGUCGUGGGUUCGAGUCCCACCCCGCGCA